UUAAAUCUUGAAGUAUUCAUUUGUCUUGUCAUAACCAUUUCUAAUGCAAAGCAGAGCAACUAAGCUCUGAGACUUUUGUUCUACAUCCUCCUCCCUUGCAGGGUGGCUUUUGCUAUGAGAGCAACAAGUCUCUGUCUAGUACUAGUACCUCUUCUGCGAAUAAACGACGGCAGUGGGAGCUGCCCUUCGUGUGAAAGCCAAAUUGAUCGAGGAAGCUCCAAAAUCCCUCUUCCAGUUCUUUCCUGGAUGGCACUCUCAGCUCCAAGUUCUUGAACUGGAGGCAGCUGAAGCAGAUCAUGUUGAGUAUCUUCGUCAGCUCGGCGAUAUGGCUUGGGUGGUAGACAGACACGGGCAGCUUGAUGAACCCGAAAUGACCUUCAGCCAGCCAUGAGAAGAAGAGUUUUGUCAGAAAAAAAUAAAUGAAGGUGGGCAGAAUCGCUGUCAUUACAACAAUCUCUUUGACAGCUCAGCUCAGGAACACACUAUAUAUCAGUGGAGGUAAAUGCUGCGGCAUUUAUUUUUACCAACAAUGUCUCUGACAGUGCACAACAGUAAACUGAACGGCCAGGUGGAAUGAGAUGCUGUUAUUUCAGCCGAGUUUUUUGAGUAUUGCCAAAAGCAUAGGAACAAGAGAUACCUAUCCUAUCAGUUGAGACAAAUGCUGAUGCAGAACUGAUUUUGCCAAGAAUACUCUGACAAUGUAUAACACUCAAGUGAGUAGUCAGAUCAGCUGUUAUCAUAUCAAACUAUUUGUGUUUCAACAGAGUGAUCUUGCCUAGGAUUUUCACACACUGAACUAGGCAACUAGCUAGCCCACCAAGAAGUUUUAUCUGGAUGUUUGUAGACGUGAAGUGGCACUAUUCAUCGCUAAAUCAAAGGGGCACACCACUGUUCGUAGGAACCUAGAAAAUCAGGUAUAAAACAGAGAGGAGCCAGUGAGUCACCUUCACACUUGGCGAGGUCGGUGGCGCCGCAGGAGUCGCAGUGGCCGAGCUGCAGCGGCAGGCCCAGCGCCGGGUUCCCGGCCAGCUGGCUCGGGUGCGUCACCGGGAACUCCUCCUUCAUCGGCUGCGCCUUCACCUGCAAUGCAUGCGACCAUCAAUGUCGUUGGUUAAUCACCUGCUGCUUUGCUAUGAAGAAGGAGGGGGAGGAGAAGAUGAAGAGGAGGCCAUGAUUGGUUGGUUGGAAUGAAAGAGGAGAAGAAAUGCUUGGCGAUUACGAUCUCCUGGUUGGAGGCGACGGCGAGGCUGAUGCUGGUGACGGUGCCCUCCGCGACGAACGUAGGGUCGUCGCCGGCCUCCAUCGCCGUCUCCAUCGCCGGUGCUCUGGGCGAGCUGCACCGAUGGAUGGAUCGAUUGGAAGAGAGUUGAGUGAGAGUGAGGGAGCGAGGGAGCUGGGUUGUGAGGGAGCUGGGUUGAGAGCUAGCCAUCUUUCACUCACUGGCCAGCACCCAACUGCAGUAGCACGCGUUAAGUGUAUGUCUCCUAAUUAAAAAAAGAAAAGAAAA